rnacentral:rRNA from 1 species
AGUGAACGCUGGCGGUAGGCCUAACACAUGCAAGUCGAACGGCAGCACAGUAAGAGCUUGCUCUUACGGGUGGCGAGUGGCGGACGGGUGAGGAAUACAUCGGAAUCUACUUUUUCGUGGGGGAUAACGUAGGGAAACUUACGCUAAUACCGCAUACGACCUACGGGUGAAAGCAGGGGAUCUUCGGACCUUGCGCGAUUGAAUGAGCCGAUGUCGGAUUAGCUAGUUGGCGGGGUAAAGGCCCACCAAGGCGACGAUCCGUAGCUGGUCUGAGAGGAUGAUAAGCCACACUGGAACUGAGACACGGUCCAGACUCCUACGGGAGGCAGCAGUGGGGAAUAUUGGACAAUGGGCGCAAGCCUGAUCCAGCCAUACCGCGUGGGUGAAGAAGGCGUUCGGGUUGUAAAGACCUUUUGUUGGGAAAGAAAAGCAGCAGGUUAAUACCCCGCUGUUCUGACGGUACCCAAAGAAUAAGCACCGGCUAACUUCGUG